UGCGUAACAGCUCACUGGUCGAGUGGACAUGCGCCGACAAUACACGGGGCUAAGCUGGACACCGAAGCGGCGGGAUUUUAAUUCAUUAGAAUCGGUAGGGGAGCUUCCCAUGGGCGGAGAAGCCGGAGGGCGACCGACGGUGGAGCGCAUGGGAGUGAGAAUGCUGGCAUGAGUAGCGAGAGACGAGAGAGUAACUCGUCCGCCGUGAACCCGAGGUUUCCUGGGCAAGGCUAAUCCUCCCAGGGUCAGUCGGGGGCUAAGGCGAGGCCGGUAGGCGUAGCCGACGCGCAGCAGGCAGACAUUCCUGCACCGCGCACGCGGCGCUACGACCGACGGGGCGACGGAUGGGGGUGGCUCGGCGGGGUUCUGGACGUCCCCGUGAUGGAGCGCGGCCCGCGGACCAGGGAAAUCCGGUCCGCAGGAGGGCGAGGCUCCGGACGAAGCGAUUGAGCGAAGCGAGUGAGCCCGAGGUCCCUAGAAAAACCCCUAGGCAGGCGCGUGCGCGCCCGUACCGCAAACCGACACAGGUGGGUGGGUAGAACAUACCGAGGCGAUCGGGUCAACCAUGGUCAAGGAACUCGGCACAAUGGCCCCGUAACUUCGGGAGAAGGGGUGCCCGCGCGUACGUGAACCGGCUCGCCCGGGGAGCGGAGGCGGGCCGCAGUGGAGAGGCCCAAGCGACUGUUUACCAAAAACACAGGACUCUGCAGAAGCCGCAAGGCGACGUAUAGGGUCUGACGCCUGCCCGGUGCCGGAAGGUCACGCGGAGGAGUUAGCCGAUUCGGCGAAGCCCCGAAGCCAAGCCCCGGUAAACGGCGGCCGUAACUAUAACGGUCCUAAGGUAGCGAAAUUCCUUGUCGGGUAAGUUCCGACCUGCACGAAAGGCGCAACGACUUGGGCGCUGUCUCGACCAUGGACCCGGUGAAAUUGCACUGGUCGUGAAGAUGCGACUUACCCGCGGAAGGACGGAAAGACCCCGUGAACCUUCACUGCAGCUUGGCAUUGGCCGCUGGUCCCGCGUGUAGAGGAUAGGCAGGAGGCACAGAUCCGGAGGCGCCAGCCCCCGGGGAGCCGCCCUUGGAAUACUGCCCUCGCGCGACCGGCGUCCUAACCCGAGGCCGUCAACCGGCUCGGGGACCGUGCCAGGCGGGCAGUUUGACUGGGGCGGUCGCCUCCUAAAGGGUAACGGAGGCGCGCGAAGGUCCGCUCGGGACGGUCGGCAACCGUCCUUUUGAAUGCAAGAGUACAAGCGGGCUUGACUGCGAGGCCCACAAGCCGAGCAGGUGCGAAAGCAGGCUCUAGUGAUCCGGCGGCCCCGAGUGGGUGGGCCGUCGCUCAACGGAUAAAAGGUACUCCGGGGAUAACAGGCUGAUCUUGCCCAAGAGUCCACAUCGACGGCAAGGUUUGGCACCUCGAUGUCGGCUCAUCGCAUCCUGGGGCUGGAGCAGGUCCCAAGGGUACGGCUGUUCGCCGUUUAAAGCGGUACGCGAGCUGGGUUCAGAACGUCGUGAGACAGUUCGGUCCCUAUCCUCCGUGGGCGCAGGAGAAUCGAUGGAGGCUGCCCCCAGUACGAGAGGACCGGGGUGGACGCACCUCCGGUGAACCGGUUGUCGACCAACGGCACGGCCGGGUAGCCGCGUGCGGCGCGGAUAACCGCUGAAGGCAUCUAAGCGGGAAGCCGUUCCAGGGAUUAGUUCUCCUUCCGGUAAGGGCCCAGGUAGACUACCUGGUCGAUAGACGGCAGGUGCAAGGCUGGCGACAGCCUCAGCCGAGCCGCACUAAUCGCCCGAGCUCUUCCGGAA
rnacentral:rRNA from 1 species